rnacentral:rRNA from 1 species
UGGGGAAUAUUGGACAAUGGGCGGAAGCCUGAUCCAGCAACGCCGCGUGAGGGAUGACGGCCUUCGGGUUGUAAACCUCUUUCAGUACCGACGAAGCGAAAGUGACGGUAGGUACAGAAGAAGGACCGGCCAACUACGUGCCAGCAGCCGCGGUAAUACGUAGGGUCCGAGCGUUGUCCGGAAUUAUUGGGCGUAAAGGGCUCGUAGGCGGUUUGUCGCGUCGGGAGUGAAAACAGCGGGCUUAACUCGUUGCUUGCUUUCGAUACGGGGCAGACUAGAGGUAUGCAGGGGAGAAUGGAAUUCCUGGUGUAGCGGUGAAAUGCGCAGAUAUCAGGAGGAACACCGGUGGCGAAGGCGGUUCUCUGGGCAUUACCUGACGCUGAGGAGCGAAAGUGU